rnacentral:rRNA from 1 species
UACGAAGGGGGCAAGCGUUGUUCGGAAUUACUGGGCGUAAAGGGCGCGUAGGCGGCUUACCAAGUCAGGCGUGAAAUUCCCGGGCUCAACCUGGGGGCUGCGCUUGAUACUGGUGAGCUUGAAUGCGGGAGAGGAUAGUGGAAUUCCCAGUGUAGAGGUGAAAUUCGUAGAUAUUGGGAAGACCACCGGUGGCGAAGGCGGCUAUCUGGCCCGUAAUUGACGCUGAGGCGCGAAAGCGUGGGGAGCAAACAGG